rnacentral:tRNA from 1 species
GAAGCGUGGUAUAACGGUUAGCAUAGCUGCCUUCCAAGCAGUUGACCCGGGUUGGACUCCCGGCCCCGACG